CCUGCAGGAAAGGACAUCAACCGAGACUCCGCAAGUAGUGGCGAGCGAACGCGGACCAGGCCAGUGGCAAUGAGGAAUAAAGUGGAACGGAAUGGAAAGUCCGGCCGUAGCGGGUGAUAGCCCCGUACAUGUAGAACACUCAUUGUCCUUGAGUAAGGCGGGACACGUGAAAUCCUGUUUGAAAUUGGGGGGACCACCCUCCAAGCCUAAGUACUCGUGCAUGACCGAUAGCGAACAAGUACCGUGAGGGAAAGGUGAAAAGCACCCCGACAAGGGGAGUGAAAUAGAACCUGAAACCGGUUGCCUACAAACAGUCGGAGCCCGCAAGGGUGACGGCGUACCUUUUGUAUAAUGGGUCAACGACUUAGUGUGACGAGCAAGCUUAAGCCGAUAGGUGAAGGCGCAGCGAAAGCGAGUCUGAACAGGGCGUUCAGUUCGUCGCAUUAGACCCGAAACCGAGUGAUCUAGCCAUGAGCAGGUUGAAGGUUGGGUAACACCAACUGGAGGACCGAACCCGCAUCUGUUGCAAUAGAUUGGGAUGACUUGUGGCUAGGGGUGAAAGGCCAAUCAAACUCGGAAAUAGCUGGUUCUCCGCGAAAACUAUUUAGGUAGUGCGUCGACCGAAUACCCUCGGGGGUAGAGCACUGGAUGGGCUAUGGGGACUCACCGUCUUACUGAUCCUAACCAAACUCCGAAUACCGAGGAGUACUAGUCGGCAGACACACGGCGGGUGCUAACGUCCGUCGUGAAGAGGGCAACAACCCUGACCUCCAGCUAAGGUCCCCAAGUCAUGGCUAAGUGGGAAAGGAUGUGAGGAUCCCAAAACAACCAGGAUGUUGGCUUAGAAGCAGCCAUCAUUUAAAGAAAGCGUAACAGCUCACUGGUCUAAAUAAGGGUCUUUGCGCCGAAAAUGUAACGGGGCUAAAGCCAUGCACCGAAGCUGAGGAUACGUGACUUGUCACGUGUGGUAGCGGAGCGUUCCGUAAGCCUGUGAAGGGAGACCCGUGAGGGCUCCUGGAGGUAUCGGAAGUGCGAAUGUUGACAUGAGUAACGAUAAAGGGAGUGAGAGACUCCCUCGCCGAAAGACCAAGGGUUCCUGCUUAAAGUUAAUCUGAGCAGGGUUAGCCGGCCCCUAAGAUGAGGCAGAAAUGCGUAGUCGAUGGGAACCACGUUAAUAUUCGUGGGCCUGGUGGUAGUGACGGAUUGCACAAGUUGUUCUUUCUUAUUGGAUUGGAAGGGCAGCGGAGCGGUUCCAGGAAAUAGCUCCACCGUAUAGACCGUACCCGAAACCGACACAGGUGGUCAGGUAGAGUAUACCAAGGCGCUUGAGAGAACUAUGCUGAAGGAACUCGGCAAAUUGCACGCGUAACUUCGGAAGAAGCGUGACCCCACCGCACGCAAGUGUGUUGGGGUGGCACAGACCAGGGGGUAGCGACUGUUUAUCAAAAACACAGGGCUCUGCGAAGUUGCAAAACGACGUAUAGGGUCUGACGCCUGCCCGGUGCUGGAAGGUUAAGAGGAGAGGUGCAAGCUUUGAAUCGAAGCCCCAGUAAACGGCGGCCGUAACUAUAACGGUCCUAAGGUAGCGAAAUUCCUUGUCGGGUAAGUUCCGACCUGCACGAAUGGCGUAACGACUUCCCCGCUGUCUCCAGCAUAGACUCAGUGAAAUUGAAUUCCCCGUGAAGAUGCGGGGUUCCUGCGGUCAGACGGAAAGACCCCGUGCACCUUUACUAUAGCUUUACACUGGCAUUCGUGUCGGCAUGUGUAGGAUAGGUGGUAGGCUUUGAAGCGGGGACGCCAGUUCUCGUGGAGCCAUCCUUGAAAUACCACCCUUAUCGUCAUGGAUGUCUAACCGCGGUCCGUUAUCCGGAUCCGGGACAGUGUAU
rnacentral:rRNA from 1 species